rnacentral:rRNA from 1 species
GAUGAACGCUGGCGGCAUGCCUAAUACAUGCAAGUCGAGCGGAGCGGGGACGGGUGAGUAACACGUGGAUAACAUCCUAUAAGACUGGGAUAACUUCGGGAAAACGGAGCAAAAACGGAAACUUAUCAAUGGAUCCACGCGUCAUUAGCUAGUUGGUACGGUAACGGCUUACCAAGGCAACGAUGAAUAGCCGACCUGAGAGGGUGAUCGGCCACACUGGAACUGAGACACGGUCCAGACUCCUACGGGAGGCAGCAGUAGGGAAUCUUCCGCAAUGGGCGAAAGCCUGACGCAGCAACGCCGCGUGAGUGAUGAAGGUCUUCGGAUCGUAAAACUCUGUUAUUAGGGAAGCGGUACCUAAUCAGAAAGCCACGGCUAACUACGUGCCAGCAGCCGCGGUAAUUC